AGAGUUUGAUCCUGGCUCAGGAUGAACGCUGGCGGCGUGCUUAACACAUGCAAGUCGAACGAAGCACUUUAUUACGAUUUCUUCGGAAUGACGAUCUAGUGACUGAGUGGCGGACGGGUGAGUAACGCGUGGGUAAUCUGCCUCAUACAGGGGGAUAACAGUUGGAAACGGCUGCUAAUACCGCAUAAGCACACAGCAUCGCAUGAAGCAGUGUGAAAAACUCCGGUGGUAUGAGAUGGACCCGCGUCUGAUUAGCUGGUUGGCGGGGUAACGGCCCACCAAGGCGACGAUCAGUAGCCGGCCUGAGAGGGCGACCGGCCACAUUGGGACUGAGACACGGCCCAAACUCCUACGGGAGGCAGCAGUGGGGAAUAUUGCACAAUGGGGGAAACCCUGAUGCAGCGACGCCGCGUGAGCGGAGAAGUAUUUCGGUAUGUAAAGCUCUAUCAGCAGGGAAGAAGAAAUGACGGUACCUGACUAAGAAGCCCCGGCUAACUACGUGCCAGCAGCCGCGGUAAUACGUAGGGGGCAAGCGUUAUCCGGAUUUACUGGGUGUAAAGGGAGCGUAGGCGGCAUGGCAAGUCUGAUGUGAAAACCCAGGGCUCAACCCUGGGACUGCAUUGGAAACUGUCAAGCUAGAGUGUCGGAGAGGUAAGCGGAAUUCCUAGUGUAGCGGUGAAAUGCGUAGAUAUUAGGAGGAACACCAGUGGCGAAGGCGGCUUACUGGACGAUGACUGACGCUGAGGCUCGAAAGCGUGGGGAGCAAACAGGAUUAGAUACCCUGGUAGUCCACGCCGUAAGCGAUGAAUAUUAGGUGUCGGGGAGCAAAGCUCUUCGGUGCCGCAGCAAACGCAAUAAGUAUUCCA
rnacentral:rRNA from 1 species